rnacentral:rRNA from 1 species
CCUACGGGAGGCAGCAGUGAGGAAUAUUGGUCAAUGGACGAGAGUCUGAACCAGCCAAGUAGCGUGAAGGAUGACUGCCCUAUGGGUUGUAAACUUCUUUUAUAUGGGAAUAAAAUGUUCCACGUGUGGGAUUUUGUAUGUACCAUAUGAAUAAGGAUCGGCUAACUCCGUGCCAGCAGCCGCGGUAAUACGGAGGAUCCGAGCGUUAUCCGGAUUUAUUGGGUUUAAAGGGAGCGUAGGCGGAUUGUUAAGUCAGUUGUGAAAGUUUGCGGCUCAACCGGAAAAUUGCAGUUGAAACUGGCAGUCGUGAGUACAGUAGAGGUAGGCGGAAUUCGUGGUGUAGCGGUGAAAUGCUUAGAUAUCACGAAGAACUCCGAGUGCGAAGGCAGCUCACUGGACUUCAACUGACACUGAGGCUCGAAAGUGUGGGUAUCAAACAGGAUUAGAUACCCGAGUAGUC